GUUAUCUGGAUAAUUUAACCUAAUUUUUAUUGGUUAUUUGCUAUAUUUAUAGAGCUAUAGUUAAAUUUACAGAUUCAAUAUAUCUCCCAACUAUUCUUCUAGGGGAAAGUGUAGGUUUCUUUAAUUUACAAACGUGACAUGGAGGUGACCAUGAAACCUUUUGCAACUUAAUGAUGGUGGGAAACUACAACUUUCCAAAAAUGAUAGGGGAUCCCUUUCUUGUGGUCUUCUUCCAAAAAUUUGUGUUAUUGUGUACAAUUGUGUGUAGGGAUAGACGUAUAAUUCUAACAUAAUUGAAUGUAAAUGUAAAAUACGUAAUUUAUAAUAUAUGCAUAAAUGUCGAGACUAUAAAAAUUGAAAAAUAUUAGUAGCUAAUAUUAAUUAUUAUUAUUAUUUUUUUGAAAUCUUGGGAUCCAUCUCGAUUUUAUGAUACUACCAG
rnacentral:lncRNA from 1 species